AGCAGCCGCGGUAAUUCCAGCUCCAAUAGCGUAUAUUAAAGUUGCUGCAGUUAAAAAGCUCGUAGUUGAAUUUCGGGACUGAUAUGUCGGUCGUGCCUCGGUACGUACUGGUAUUUUUGGUUUCUCCCUUCUGACGAACCUUGAUGUCAUUAAUUUGGUGUCUUGGGAAAUCAGGACUGUUACUUUGAAAAAUUAGAGUGUUUAAAGCAGGCUCACGCUUGAAUACAUUAGCAUGGAAUAAUGAAAUAGGACGUUUGAUUCUAUUUUGUUGGUUUCUAGGAUCGACGUAAUGAUUAAUAGGGAUAGUUGGGGGCAUUAGUAUUCAAUUGUCAGAGGUGAAAUUCUUGGAUUUAUUGAAGACUAACUACUGCGAAAGCAUUUGCCAAGGAUGUUUUCAUUAAUCAAGACGAAAGUUAGGGGAUCGAAGACGAUCAGAUACCGUCGUAGUCUUAACCAUAAACUAUGACCG
rnacentral:rRNA from 1 species